rnacentral:piRNA from 1 species
UAAAUAGGAUCUGCAUCAGCAGUGGGU